ensembl:snoRNA
AAAAGCCUAUGAUGUGAUGUUAUCCCUGUCUGAAAUUUCAAAUGUGAGGUGAAAAUGAGUAUCAACUGAGGCUUUU